UACGUAGGGGGCAAGCGUUGUCCGGAAUUAUUGGGCGUAAAGAGCUUGUAGGCGGCUUGUCGCGUCUGCUGUGAAAAUCCGGGGCUCAACCCCGGACUUGCAGUGGGUACGGGCAGACUAGAGUGUGGUAGGGGAGACUGGAAUUCCUGGUGUAGCGGUGAAAUGCGCAGAUAUCAGGAGGAACACCGAUGGCGAAGGCAGGUCACUGGGCCGCAACUGACGCUGAGGAGCGAAAGCAUGGGGAGCGAACAGG
rnacentral:rRNA from 1 species